rnacentral:rRNA from 1 species
AACGAACGCUGGCGGCAUGCCUAACACAUGCAAGUCGAACGAGACCUUCGGGUCUAGUGGCGCACGGGUGCGUAACGCGUGGGAACCUGCCCUUAGGUUCGGAAUAACUCCGCGAAAGGGGUGCUAAUACCGGAUAAUGUCUUCGGACCAAAGAUUUAUCGCCUUUGGGUGGGCCCGCGUUGGAUUAGCUAGUUGGUAGGGUAAAAGCCUACCAAGGCGACGAUCCAUAGCUGGUCUGAGAGGAUGAUCAGCAACACUGGGACUGAGACACGGCCCAGACUCCUACGGGAGGCAGCAGUGGGGAAUAUUGGACAAUGGGCGAAAGCCUGAUCCAGCAAUGCCGCGUGAGUGAUGAAGGCCUUAGGGUUGUAAAGCUCUUUUACCCGGGAUGAUAAUGACAGUACCGGGAGAAUAAGCUCCGGCUAACUCCGUG